rnacentral:rRNA from 1 species
GACGAACGCUGGCGGCGUGCUUAACACAUGCAAGUCGAACGGAAAGGCCCUGCUUUUGUGGGGUGCUCGAGUGGCGAACGGGUAAGUAACAAGUGAGUAACCUGCCCUUGACUUUGGGAUAACUUCAGGAAACUGGGGCUAAUACCGGAUAGGAGCUCCUGCUGCAUGGUGGGGGUUGGAAAGUUUCGGCGGUUGGGGAUGGACUCGCGGCUUAUCAGCUUGUUGGUGGGGUAGUGGCUUACCAAGGCUUUGACGGGUAGCCGGCCUGAGAGGGUGACCGGCCACAUUGGGACUGAGAUACGGCCCAGACUCCUACGGGAGGCAGCAGUGGGGAAUAUUGCACAAUGGGCGGAAGCCUGAUGCAGCAACGCCGCGUGCGGGAUGACGGCCUUCGGGUUGUAAACCGCUUUCGCCUGUGACGAAGCGUGAGUGACGGUAAUGGGUAAAGAAGCACCGGCUAACUACGUG